AACGUAGGUCACAAGCGUUGUCCGGAAUUACUGGGUGUAAAGGGAGCGCAGGUGGGAAGACAAGUUGGAAGUGAAAUCUAUGGGCUCAACCCAUAAACUGCUUUCAAAACUGUUUUUCUUGAGUAGUGCAGAGGUAGGUGGAAUUCCCGGUGUAGCGGUGGAAUGCGUAGAUAUCGGGAGGAACACCAGUGGCGAAGGCGGCCUACUGGGCACCAACUGACGCUGAGGCUCGAAAGUGUGGGUAGCAAACAGG
rnacentral:rRNA from 1 species